rnacentral:rRNA from 1 species
GUCUAGGGCCAUGCCACCCUGAACAAGCUCGAUCCUGUCUGAUCUCAGAAGCUAAGCAGGGUCGGGCCUGAUUAGUACUUAGAUGGGAGACCACCUAGGAAGACCAGGUGCUGUAGGCG